AGAUCUUAUGUUUGAAGCACAUAUAUAGUGGAAUACAAAUGUGCAGAAAUAAGGUAUUCUUGAACCAUUGGAUCUUUUCUGAAUCUCGCCAUUUUGGUGGUGUAAACCCUGCCGCAGCAUGUUUGAUGUUAUUUCUGUUUUACUUCUGUUUAGAAGGCAACCCAGCUAAGAGAUAGAGUUUCAGAGACAUGAAGAGUGUGAAGUGACCUGCCAUGUAUGUACC